rnacentral:rRNA from 1 species
CCGCAAGGUUAAAACUCAAAUGAAUUGACGGGGGCCCGCACAAGCGGUGGAGCAUGUGGUUUAAUUCGAUGCAACGCGAAGAACCUUACCUACUCUUGACAUCCAGAGAAUUUAGCAGAGAUGCUUUAGUGCCUUCGGGAACUCUGAGACAGGUGCUGCAUGGCUGUCGUCAGCUCGUGUUGUGAAAUGUUGGGUUAAGUCCCGCAACGAGCGCAACCCUUAUCCUUUGUUGCCAGCGAUUCGGUCGGGAACUCA